GAUGAACGCUGGCGGCGUGCUUAACACAUGCAAGUCGAACGAAGCACUUUAUUUGAUUUCCUUCGGGACUGAUUAUUUUGUGACUGAGUGGCGGACGGGUGAGUAACGCGUGGGUAACCUGCCUUGUACAGGGGGAUAACAGUUGGAAACGGCUGCUAAUACCGCAUAAGCGCACGGCAUCGCAUGAUGCAGUGUGAAAAACUCCGGUGGUAUAAGAUGGACCCGCGUUGGAUUAGCUAGUUGGUGAGGUAACGGCCCACCAAGGCGACGAUCCAUAGCCGACCUGAGAGGGUGCCCGGCCACAUUGGGACUGAGACACGGCCCAAACUCCUACGGGAGGCAGCAGUGGGGAAUAUUGCACAAUGGGCGAAAGCCUGAUGCAGCGACGCCGCGUGAGCGAAGAAGUAUUUCGGUAUGUAAAGCUCUAUCAGCAGGGAAGAUAAUGACGGUACCUGACGAAGAAGCACCGGCUAAAUACGUG
rnacentral:rRNA from 1 species